rnacentral:rRNA from 1 species
UUAAGCGACUAAGCGUACACGGUGGAUGCCCUGGCAGUCAGAGGCGAUGAAGGACGUGCUAAUCUGCGAAAAGCGUCGGUAAGGUGAUAUGAACCGUUAUAACCGGCGAUGUCCGAAUGGGGAAACCCAGUGCAAUUCGUUGCACUAUCGUUAACUGAAUACAUAGGUUAACGAGGCGAACCGGGGGAACUGAAACAUCUAAGUACCCCGAGGAAAAGAAAUCAACCGAGAUUCCCCCAGUAGCGGCGAGCGAACGGGGAGCAGCCCAGAGUCUGAAUCAGCUUGUGUGUUAGUGGAACGGUCUGGAAAGUCCGACGGUACAGGGUGAUAGUCCCGUACACCAAAAUGCACAGGCUGUGAACUCGAAGAGUAGGGCGGGACACGUGGUAUCCUGUCUGAAUAUGGGGGGACCAUCCUCCAAGGCUAAAUACUCCUGACUGACCGAUAGUGAACCAGUACCGUGAGGGAAAGGCGAAAAGAACCCCGGCGAGGGGAGUGAAAAAGAACCUGAAACCGUGUACGUACAAGCAGUGGGAGCACCUUCGGGUGUGACUGCGUACCUUUUGUAUAAUGGGUCAGCGACUUAUAUUCUGUAGCAAGGUUAACCGUAUAGGGGAGCCGCAGGGAAACCGAGUCUUAACUGGGCGUUAAGUUGCAGGGUAUAGACCCGAAACCCGGUGAUCUAGCCAUGGGCAGGUUGAAGGUUGGGUAACACUAACUGGAGGACCGAACCGACUAAUGUUGAAAAAUUAGCGGAUGACUUGUGGCUGGGGGUGAAAGGCCAAUCAAACCGGGAGAUAGCUGGUUCUCCCCGAAAGCUAUUUAGGUAGCGCCUCGUGAACUCAUCUUCGGGGGUAGAGCACUGUUUCGGCUAGGGGGUCAUCCCGACUUACCAACCCGAUGCAAACUACGAAUACCGAAGAAUGUUAUCACGGGAGACACACGGCGGGUGCUAACGUCCGUCGUGAAGAGGGAAACAACCCAGACCGCCAGCUAAGGUCCCAAAGUCAUGGUUAAGUGGGAAACGAUGUGGGAAGGCAUAGACAGCCAGGAUGUUGGCUUAGAAGCAGCCAUCAUUUAAAGAAAGCGUAAUAGCUCACUGGUCGAGUCGGCCUGCGCGGAAGAUGUAACGGGGCUAAACCAUGCACCGAAGCUGCGGCAGCGACACUAUGUGUUGUUGGGUAGGGGAGCGUUCUGUAAGCCUGCGAAGGUGUGCUGUGAGGCAUGCUGGAGGUAUCAGAAGUGCGAAUGCUGACAUAAGUAACGAUAAAGCGGGUGAAAAGCCCGCUCGCCGGAAGACCAAGGGUUCCUGUCCAACGUUAAUCGGGGCAGGGUGAGUCGACCCCUAAGGCGAGGCCGAAAGGCGUAGUCGAUGGGAAACAGGUUAAUAUUCCUGUACUUGGUGUUACUGCGAAGGGGGGACGGAGAAGGCUAUGUUAGCCGGGCGACGGUUGUCCCGGUUUAAGCAUGUAGGCUGGUUGUCCAGGCAAAUCCGGAUAAUCAAGGCUGAGGUGUGAUGACGAGGCACUACGGUGCUGAAGUAACAAAUGCCCUGCUUCCAGGAAAAGCCUCUAAGCAUCAGGUAACAUCAAAUCGUACCCCAAACCGACACAGGUGGUCAGGUAGAGAAUACCAAGGCGCUUGAGAGAACUCGGGUGAAGGAACUAGGCAAAAUGGUGCCGUAACUUCGGGAGAAGGCACGCUGGUGUGUAGGUGAAGCCCCUGCGGGUGGAGCUGAGACCAGUCGAAGAUACCAGCUGGCUGCAACUGUUUAUUAAAAACACAGCACUGUGCAAACACGAAAGUGGACGUAUACGGUGUGACGCCUGCCCGGUGCCGGAAGGUUAAUUGAUGGGGUUAUCCGUAAGGAGAAGCUCUUGAUCGAAGCCCCGGUAAACGGCGGCCGUAACUAUAACGGUCCUAAGGUAGCGAAAUUCCUUGUCGGGUAAGUUCCGACCUGCACGAAUGGCGUAAUGAUGGCCAGGCUGUCUCCACCCGAGACUCAGUGAAAUUGAACUCGCUGUGAAGAUGCAGUGUACCCGCGGCAAGACGGAAAGACCCCGUGAACCUUUACUAUAGCUUGACACUGAACAUUGAGCCUUGAUGUGUAGGAUAGGUGGGAGGCUUUGAAGCGUGGACGCCAGUCUGCGUGGAGCCAACCUUGAAAUACCACCCUUUAAUGUUUGAUGUUCUAACGUUGGCCCCUGACCGGGGUUGCGGACAGUGUCUGGUGGGUAGUUUGACUGGGGCGGUCUCCUCCCAAAGCGUAACGGAGGAGCACGAAGGUUAGCUAAUCCUGGUCGGACAUCAGGAGGUUAGUGCAAUGGCAUAAGCUAGCUUGACUGCGAGCGUGACGGCGCGAGCAGGUGCGAAAGCAGGUCAUAGUGAUCCGGUGGUUCUGAAUGGAAGGGCCAUCGCUCAACGGAUAAAAGGUACUCCGGGGAUAACAGGCUGAUACCGCCCAAGAGUUCAUAUCGACGGCGGUGUUUGGCACCUCGAUGUCGGCUCAUCACAUCCUGGGGCUGAAGUAGGUCCCAAGGGUAUGGCUGUUCGCCAUUUAAAGUGGUACGCGAGCUGGGUUUAGAACGUCGUGAGACAGUUCGGUCCCUAUCUGCCGUGGGCGCUGGAGAAUUGAGGGGGGCUGCUCCUAGUACGAGAGGACCGGAGUGGACGCAUCACUGGUGUUCGGGUUGUCAUGCCAAUGGCACUGCCCGGUAGCUAAAUGCGGAAGAGAUAAGUGCUGAAAGCAUCUAAGCACGAAACUUGCCCCGAGAUGAGUUCUCCCUGAGACUUUAAGUCUCCUGAAGGAACGUUAAAGACGAUGACGUUGAUAGGCCGGGUGUGUAAGCGCAGCGAUGCGUUGAGCUAACCGGUACUAAUGAACCGUGAGGCUUAACCUU